rnacentral:rRNA from 1 species
GGGAGGCAGCAGUGGGGAAUAUUGGACAAUGGGGGCAACCCUGAUCCAGCCAUGCCGCGUGAGUGAUGACGGCCUUAGGGUUGUAAAGCUCUUUUCUCCGGGACGAUAAUGACGGUACCGGAGGAAUAAGCCCCGGCUAACUUCGUGCCAGCAGCCGCGGUAAU